rnacentral:rRNA from 1 species
GACGAACGCUGGCGGCGUGCUUAACACAUGCAAGUCGAACGGAAAGGCCCUGCUUUUGUGGGGUGCUCGAGUGGCGAACGGGUGAGUAACACGUGAGUAACCUGCCCUUGACUUUGGGAUAACUUCAGGAAACUGGGGCUAAUACCGGAUAGGAGCUCCUGCUGCAUGGUGGGGGUUGGAAAGUUUCGGCGGUCGGGGAUGGACUCGCGGCUUAUCAGCUUGUUGGUGGGGUAGUGGCUUACCAAGGCUUUGACGGGUAGCCGGCCUGAGAGGGUGACCGGCCACAUUGGGACUGAGAUACGGCCCAGACUCCUACGGGAGGCAGCAGUGGGGAAUAUUGCACAAUGGGCGGAAGCCUGAUGCAGCAACGCCGCGUGCGGGAUGACGGCCUUCGGGUUGUAAACCGCUUUCGCCUGUGACGAAGCGUGAGUGACGGUAAUGGGUAAAGAGGCACCGGCUAACUACGUG